GAUGAACGCUGGCGGCGUGCCUAAUACAUGCAAGUCGAGCGAACAGACGAGGAGCUUGCUCCUCUGACGUUAGCGGCGGACGGGUGAGUAACACGUGGAUAACCUACCUAUAAGACUGGGAUAACUUCGGGAAACCGGAGCUAAUACCGGAUAAUAUAUUGAACCGCAUGGUUCAAUAGUGAAAGACGGUUUUGCUGUCACUUAUAGAUGGAUCCGCGCCGCAUUAGCUAGUUGGUAAGGUAACGGCUUACCAAGGCAACGAUGCGUAGCCGACCUGAGAGGGUGAUCGGCCACACUGGAACUGAGACACGGUCCAGACUCCUACGGGAGGCAGCAGUAGGGAAUCUUCCGCAAUGGGCGCAAGCCUGACGGAGCAACGCCGCGUGAGUGAUGAAGGUCUUCGGAUCGUAAAACUCUAUUAUUAGGGAAGAACAAAUGUGUAAGUAACUAUGCACGUCUUGACGGUACCUAAUCAGAAAGCCACGGCUAACUACGUG
rnacentral:rRNA from 1 species